CUGAGCCCACUGGUGAUGUCCCAUCAGUAGCUUUGUUGAACAAUUACCCAGCUGGGGUUAAAUGGUUGAGUCUACCAUCUUCUUUGGUGCAAUCUCUUCCUUACCUAAUUGAAUCCUUGGAGGGAACUUAAAAACCAAUCAAUCAGCAUAGUUGUUGCCUUACUGCCAGAAUUGGAGAGAAAUGCUAUAUUUAGGAGAAUCUGUACAAAAAAAUCAAGUAUGUAACUCAAAGCCAUUGUCGUCUCCAUUCCCCAGUUUAACCUUGGGAAAUCCCACAGGCCUUUACUGUCUUGUACCCUCCUCAGGGUCACUCGUC
ensembl:lncRNA